rnacentral:rRNA from 1 species
AUACGGAGGGGGCUAGCGUUGUUCGGAAUUACUGGGCGUAAAGCGCGCGUAGGCGGCUCGUCUAGUUGGGCGUGAAAGCCCGGGGCUCAACCCCGGAAUUGCGUUCAAUACUGGCGAGCUAGAGACCGGAAGAGGAGAGUGGAAUUCCCAGUGUAGAGGUGAAAUUCGUAGAUAUUGGGAAGAACACCAGUGGCGAAGGCGGCUCUCUGGUCCGGUACUGACGCUGAGGUGCGAAAGCGUGGGGAGCAAACAGGAUUAGAUACCCGGGUAGUCC